rnacentral:miRNA from 12 species
AUAUAUAUAUAUAUGUGUGUGUGUGUGUGUGUAUGUGUGUAUGUAUAUACACACACAUAUAUACAUAUACAGUAUCAGAAACAU